ensembl:lncRNA
UAGGCCUAUGUUCUCAUCCAUGCUUCAUAGAAAACAUUGAACACGUGGUCAGAUCACGUGACGCGCCUUUACUAGCGAGCUGUCACUUCCUGUUCAGCGCUGCUCAUCUUUCAUUCGUGGAAGACUUUAUUUACUAUUCAACGCCUUGAUUAAGAAGUGUUACAUCUGCAGUUACAUAGCUACCCCAGGAAAGACCGGUGCUCAGUCUCCAUGUUGGUUCUCCAUGACUGAGGAGCGGGUUUGCGUUGGAUACAAGUCAUAGGGAAUGCUAACUGGCUGCUGCUAACAGCUGACGAGCUUCUGGUUGUUGAUAUCAUGAAGGAAACGACAGGGACUGAAAGUAUGUAUGACGUCUGAGCGCCCCCCACCUCAGAGAUGUACCCCUCCUCGAGGAAGGACUUCAUCUCUCUGACCCUGUCCGACUCCUACAACAAUGGGAAGCACCGCAGACAGUCUUGUUGGAGGAAGCAGCUCGACUGUCUGAAUGCCACACUUGCUCCUUUCCUCCUGCUCAACUGCUUACUGCUACUGCUCGUCUCCUUGAGGGUAAGGUGAAAUUAUCAGACGACAUGUAAAUAAGUUCAGCUCCUCAUUUACAAAUCUGUAUCGCCUUGGUUAUAGAAUGUUCUGCUUUCAGACUUUUUACACGUCGUCUUCAUUGUUGUAUUGCAGUCAGGA